UAGUGGUUAGAGGAGGCAGGUAGCCUAGUGGUUAGAGGAGGCAGGUAGCCUAGUGGUUAGAGGAGACAGGUAGUCUAGUGGUUAGAGGAGGCAGGUAGCCUAGUGGUUAGAGGAGACAGGUAGCCUAGUGGUUAGAGGAGGCAGGUAGCCUGGUGGUUAGAGGAGGCAGGUAGCCUAGUGGUUAGAGGAGGCAGGUAGCCUAGUGGUUAGAGGAGGCAGGUAGCCUAGUGGUUAGAGGAGGCAGGUAGCCUAGUGGUUAGAGGAGGCAGGUAGCCUAGUGGUUAGAGGAGGCAGGUAGCCUAGUGGUUAGAGGAGGCAGGUAGCCUAGUGGUUAGAGGAGG